ACGCCUUUCGCACCUACACACACACACACACACACACACCAUUGAUGAGUAGCAGUACUGAACAAAAGAAUCAAAAUCCUGACCAGCUGUUACUGAUAAUAUUACAGAUUUCAUUUUCAGUUUCAGAGUUUUUCUUUUGUUGCUUUUCUUUCUUCAGUGUAAUAAGUUUUCAAAAAAACAGCCCCAUAAAAGUGUACGGAACUGAAUUUCAACCCUUCUUCAAUCAUCAUGCACACCAACUUCUUCUUCUCCUUCUGAAAAAGGUACUAGCUUUGUUUUUAGGUUUUUUUCAAGAACUGCAUUUUUGUUACUACUACAUCCCAUUUUUUUAGCUCAUUUUUGUUUAUGAGAUGUUGUUUUGCUAAAAUCUUUAUGUUGUUUCUUAAAAACUCCAUUAUCAUAUUGUCAUAACUAUUUGGUUGAGAGAGUGAGUUUUGAAAAGAAAAAAAAAACAUAAAGUGUACGGAACAGAAUAUCACUCUUCUUCAGUUCUUCUGAAAAAGGUUGCUCUUUUUAAGUUGUUUUCGAUUUCCAAGAACUGCAUUUUUAUUAGCACUACAUUCCUAGUUUUAACUCAUUUUUUGUUUAUGGGGUUGUGUUUUUAUUUAUUUAUUGUUGCUUUUCUUGUCUGUAAGUUUUAAAAAAC
rnacentral:lncRNA from 1 species